CUGUGCCUCCUGAUUGCCGAGUGUUCACCUGCCUUCUGUGGCUAGCCCAUCAGCCUAUAGACAUGGUACCUGGAUUUUUGCUCAUGGUGAUUCCUACCACCUUACUACUGUACAAAGGCAUCAUUUCAGUGGACACUGUGACCCAAGAGGCAUUCAGCUGUCAUGAUGUGGCCUUUAUCGCCACUCCUUUCCUAUUGUACCCAGAUUCAGCACAGCUCUUUA
ensembl:misc_RNA